GCGGAUAUGGUGGAAUUGGCAGACACGCCAGAUUUAGGUUCUGGUGCCGUACGGCGUACAGGUUCAAGUCCUGCUAUCCGCACCA
rnacentral:tRNA from 1 species